rnacentral:lncRNA from 1 species
UAAGUCGCCCUUUCUGUGUAGUCGCUGUUUGCGGGGAGCGACUGGUGUUCUGUUUGAGCAAUUGACAGUAAUUAGUAAAGUACUUUGUACUGAGAGUAGCACAAUCUAUCGCCCCCGUGUUCGGAUGAUAUUUUGGAAGAUCCUUAUCGCUGUCAUCUGUUUUGAAUUUUUGAGCUUGAAGACCAUGUUUUGUUGCUUUUCUGUUGACAAUGUCCACUGGUGAAUGUGUCUAUGUGCGCUCCAGUUUGCAGUAUCAUUGUGUUAACUUUGUACCCAUCUGUUGCUUAGCAACAUAUAAUUCUGUAGGGCAUUUAAACUUGUUAAAUGCAACUUGAUUCUGAGAAAUGCUAAUGAACUGUGAUGAACUAGACCGCCCUCUCAAACUUCAUAAUGAACUGUGAUGAACUAGACCGCCCUCUCAAACUUCACUUCAAAUUUGUGGAUUUAAGUUUCUAUGUGCCGAUUCCUUUCAUUAAACUUGUGCUGUUCUCUUUGCUAUUUCUCCUAACCAUUUCCAUACAUGAAGCUUGUCUCGUAUGUUUUACAAACAAUUUAAACUUUUGAAUGACAUGUAAAUCAUUGGGCUGACAUUUUAAAUACAUAAAAUUGAAUAACAUUCAAAUACAAACCACCUGCCAGUUCAAAGAAAAUCAUCAGCUAGCGUCAAAAGUCACCACGUGCGUUCAUCAAAAGCCACCCGAUCCCACAUAGCACCUCACCGCCACUACAACCAGGGUACACAGAGGGUGGCAACCGGCGAUCCAACAUCUUGUCCAUGAGUGAUCUUCAAUACUCCCUCCAUUCCAAAAUAUAGUGCGCCCACGCUUCCCGAGGUCCAACUUUGACCAUAAAUUUAACCAACGAGACCAACUGCGGCGGGAGAAAAAACGAUAUAAUUGAAAACUUCUUUUGAAUACGAAUUCACUGAUAUAAUUUUUACUCCCGCCGCAAUCGGUCCUGGUAGUUAAAUUUGCGGUCAAAAUUGAAGCACGAGGAUAGAGGAAGUACUAUAUUGUGGAAUGGAGGGAGUAUAUCCUUUGCUCUUGCUCUUUCCAUUUCCACUUCGGCCUUGAUAGGGCCAACCCUCAGGAUCCUAGCAGAGGGAAGCGACCUGACUUUUGUGUCUGCUCGACUGAUGAGUCUAGCAUAGCAGUCAAGCCCCUUUCCACCUUUGCACUCGAGGACCAAUGUGUGUCAGGCAUGAGGAAACGUUUGAAUGCCUCUGUUCCCUUUUGGGAGGCCUACUUAAUUUGAAAGCCAUAUUUCCACGAAAAAGUUAAAUGAAGAGAGUCGACUAUUCAGAGGCAAGCCUAUGCUCCUCUGCACAUGCGUUCCUCUCAACCUUCAUCAAGCCGCGCGUGUCUUCCAUGUUCACUGCACCCUCAAUCUUUUUGAGUUCCAUCCACCUCAACGUCUUCUCAUGAUUUGUGCUCAGCUGAUAAUUUCUCCUUUGUCCCGAUUAUUGCAUUGAGUUCUUUAUUACUCCCUCCAUAACGUAAUAUAAAACGUUUUUUACACCGGCAUGGACUCUAAAAAUGUCUUAUAAAAUGUUAUAGAGGGAGUAUAUGCACACGCUCCACCAUUUUUCUUGCUCUCUCUCAUCCGUGCGAGAUCUAGGAGUGAGGCUUCUCCUCAAAAAAAAACACAUCACCUUCAUCUUCAAUAUCUAUGGAGUCGGAGAUGCUCAAUCUUGACCUCCUUGAUGUUGUUUCAGUUUUCUCGCCCACUUCUCAUUUUGCCUUGAGCUUUAUGAAACAAUGGGCAGAGUGAAUGCCUUGUUCCUAUUUCUUUUGUUCAUAUGCUUGUAUAGCUUUUGGGUGUAGAUGUCAUACUCAUUAAGUGGCACUUGUUUGACUCAACCUAACCACCGUUUGCAACAAUCUUGGAUGACAUUCACUUCCAAAAGGGAGAAUAUUGUGGGCGAGAGAGUAUUUUGUCCGGUUCGAGUGAGUGGGACAUGGCGUACAUAGUAUUCCUCAACUCUCUUCCAAAAGGUUUCCUUAGUUUGAUCAGCACCGACCGUGGUGUCAAGAGCUAUGUUCAACCAAGAAUAUAAGAAAGCUUCAUCUUCAUUGACACCAGUUCACUGAUCAUGUUAGCCUCUUGUUGCUGAUAUGGACCGAUCUCCUCCACUCACUUGCACUUGACACUUCGCGGCAUUCAUCCUCCAUCGAGCCUUAUAAUGUGUUUUGAAUCAUCCAACGUUGACAUGAAGGCCCACAAGCCAUUGGGUUCGGUUCCCCACUACAAUAGAGACGUGCGAAAUCUCAUCACCUAUAAUUGAACAUCGAAGCUGGGGGGUGGGGGGAGGGAGAGUGAACAUUGAGCGGCGGCAACUGGAGGCGGUUGAGUGGGAAAUGUCUAGGCGCCAAAAUUUUGCUCUUUGGGCAGCAGAAUAGUGGAAGGGCUAAGUGAUGUCAACACCCUAAAAAAUAUACCACUCACUCCAAUCCAUAUUAAUGUCGCCGAUUUAGUACACGCAUGCCCUAAAUUAGCAACUUAAUAUGGAUUGAAGCGAGUAGUAUUUUUUUAGCAGAAAAUGCUCAAUUUGAGAGUGAACUCAAAAUUUAGGGAGUUAAAAUCCUUUUUUAGAGAGUGAGUUAAAAAACUUAGGAGGAUGGCCGGGUGGUUUUCACUCUAAAAAAGCAGCUUCCUGGCAAUGAAAACUAUUUAAUGAAAAAACUAGCACAUCCUCUGCACGACCGACCCCUAGCGUCCCCGUUGAAUUAAUCGUGAAAAUGCAACCGGCACAAACUGCAACCAUCUGUGUAAACACGCCAAUACGCCACAUUCAUCCGAUGAAUGCUUUCAAGUUCAUGUUCAUGAAUUACACCUGCAGCUCACCGACUCUUCACAGGAUCUCGCCGCAGUGCCUAUUGUCUGUAUGUACUAGUACUGUAUCAGCUUUUGCCUCCCUAACAAUACCCUCAUGCACAGCACAAACACUGCUCUCCUCGCCACCAUGCCGCCAAUAAGGCCGAGUCACUAUCUCAGACUGACCCAAUCGCCCCCACAACUCAACUCAGUAGGAAAACUAUCCUACACCAGCAUAACACGUUAACGACACCCGCUCUUCAAAUGGAGCGUACCGAUUUCGGUCACAAAAUCGGGCCUGCGACCCGCCUCCCAUCAGUCGAGCUUUGCCCGCCUGCAUGCGUUCGGCGACGUUUCUGCUUCUCACGCGAUCGACUGGUAGCGGGCCCUAGGAAUCCGUGAAUCGCCAUCUCGUAUGGAUAUACUAAGAGCAUCAGCGCCGGGGCCUCCAGCACCUUUGCUUGGUUGUAGAGGCGCCAUCAUUCUUCGGGGAUUUGCAUUUGCAUUUGGUUUCUUGGGCGUGCCGAGUUUCACAAAGAACGUGGCGCUACAUCCCUUCCCUACACCUUCACUGUCGAGCCAGAUGUUCCCUUGCAUCAGGCCAACAAAUCUGAUGGAACCAGAGAGUGUAGAGACAUCGGUCAGCACAGAGAUCAGAGAGUUUCAGGGGGGAAAAAGGAAUGUGCAGAAAUGCCCUCUUGAUAUACCUUCUGGAGAGGGCCAGACCCAACCCGUUGCCGUUGUGCAAUUUCGUUGUUGCAUUCUCACCGUGUGCGAAUUUUCUGAAGGUGUGAGCCAUAUCCUCUGGUCCGAUUCCACAGCCGGUGUCUUUUACCUACAGGAGAAUAUGACAUCAGAACUUCUGCUAACAUUAAGUUAUUAGCCCUACCACUUGUCCCCUGUUUUUGCUCCUUAAUUAGUUUGUACGUCUUCUAUGGGCAGCCACAAGCGAUCUAAAAUAAUCUUUAUGGUAUGUUUACCAAUUACUGUAGAAAAUGCAAAUCAUUCUUUUUCUCUUCAGGUUAUCUAUCACUUUGAAGACCUCAAUCGAGGUCUCUUUGGAAUGCUAAUGUCUACAUUUACGAGUACCACUGCAUUAACUUGGCGAGCAUUGGCAAGCAUCAUUAGAAAGUUAUGGUGUUAUGUAUUAUGCGUUUGUGGCAACUUUCGGCAUAUUGAGGAGUUAAGAGAAAAGGAGUGUAUGUUCAUAGGCAAACCUGAACAACCAAGUAGAAAGACCCAUCAGAGGGAACUGGAUGUAAGUUAGAAGCAUAUGGGUCCCUCAAUGAAUCUGGCCUGGCUAUGGAAGCUGCAAUUGAAAUGUGACCCUCCUUUGUGAACUUAAUGGAGUUGCCAGCAACAUUUAGCAUUAUCUGCAUCAAUCGCUUGCGAUCACCAAUUGCACAGGAAGGCAACUCUGGAGCCAAGGAAACCAUUACCGAGAGCCUUUUGCAUGCAGCCACUGGCUUAAUCAAAUUAACCACCUACAAGAUGAACUAGUGAGUUGACCUCAAAUCCAACUGUAUAUUUUCCCCUCCUUUUAGGCAACAUAGUAGCAAAGUCGAAAUAUUAAAACUGCUGUCAGGGCACUUACAUCCGUAAAGGCAGCAUGCAGGUUGAAAGGUGCAAUGUCCAGCUCAAGACUCCCAUUCCCAAGCUUGGAAAUAUCUAAAACAUCGUUGGUCAAAGUGACUAGAAAAUCGCUACUCUUUAGUAUAGUCUCAAUCAUCAGGCGUUGUUCAGCCGUAAGAGUUGUUUCCAGAAGGAGGGAGGAUAAAGAAACAAUGGCUUUCAUAGGAGUACGCAUUUCAUGGUUCAUCACAGCAAGAAAAUCAUUACGAGCACAUAUAGCCAUUUCUGCCUCUCGACGUGCUGCAUCAAGGGCAAUAUUCUGCUCCAUUAGUAGAUCACGGGCCCUCAUGGACUCUUCCAAAAUGGCAGCAUGAGACAGUGCAACUGCCACCUAAAAUAAGAAAAAUGAGCGAACGUGGUCAUGUUUUUUUUACAAUAUCUGCAGGCAUGAAGUGUAGUGCAGUCUACUUCAUAAAGAAAUAAUUAAAUGCAAAAUUAUCCAUCUAAGAGCAGCAUUAUAGGCUAAAUGCUAACAGAAAAUGCUAAACAUUAAGCAUUGAUAAUAAGACUUUAUAAUAGUUGUAGCCCAAGUAAACUGACAAAACGCUGAGAACAACUCAACGACAUACCACACAAAGUCACAAACACAAUGGAAUCAGAAGAAAAAAGCAUUAGUGCCAGGAAGAAACUAAUAACUAAACUUGGAGGAGGGCAUAUAGGAAGUGUAGCAUGAUACACAAUCAGGAACAACACUUAGCUGGUUAACCUGAAACAUUUCUUUAACAAGGAAACAAAAGUAUCAAUGAUGACGGCAUGCAUACUUCCAAUAAUUAAAUCAAGGAUGCAUACAAGUGCUGAAUGACUUUCACAGAGCUUGUCAGGAUAUAAACCAAUUACUCGCAAGCAAUAUCAUAUUAGGGAAAAGGAAGAUAGAUAGGGCAGAAGGGAAACUAAAAAAAAUAUGAUUUUCAAGAAAAAAUAGUUUCACACUUCAAACCAUAAUAAAAUGAUUUACUAGGUUAACUCAAUUCUCUUCAAAACUCUUAUUCACACACAAAGCAUACACAUUUAUGAUUUAUCCAUUGACUUGACUAAUAAGAAAACUCGCACAGAGCAGGCCAAAGAAAUAUACAAAUGCAGCCCUAUAGUAGGAUUCUAAAGCUGAUAAUAUCAGAGGCCAGACAUAGGUUACCAGACAACCACACCAGUGAUUACAGAUUACAUAUAUAAAAAAAUGAACAGAAAUAAAAUCAACAACUACCUGAUCAGCAACAACUUCAACAAGCUCUAGUUCAUGGGUACGCCAUUUUCUUGCACUGUCUGGAGGCAGCAUCAAAACCAUUACUGCGAAGCUUUUUGCAGAUAGCUCAGGCCAAUCAUUUAUUUCGAAAUUUGUAAGGUGCAGCAGUGGAACUCGGACAGCUACGACCUCUGGUGGCGCGUACCUGCUUGUGUCUGCCUUUAUUGAAGCCAAUGGGGAAGUAUGUGGAAUGCUUUCUGCACGAUUACUAUUAAAAACCUUUGAAACAACCGGAAGAUUUAUAGGAACAACUAAGCCAAUAGGAGCGCUGUUAUGGAUUGUAUGGGACAGGUGAAGGGCUGUUCCAGAGCGGGAUGGCAUCCACAGGGCACAUUCAGCUAACCCAAGAGUCCUUCCCAACUCAACAAGCGUAGUUCUCAAAAUAGUGUGCCUGUCAAGCGUGCUCCUUAUCUCAUGUGUGAGCAUGUGGACAUGUCUGCCUGUCUCCUCCUGUGUUCUUAUAAUCCCCAUCUCUUUGUCAAGCUCUUCAGCCUUAUCCUUCAGAUACCUCUCUCGCAACUUCACGCUCAACAAAUCAGGAAUUAUGUGCACAAGCAUCAAUGCCGUUAUGCAUGAAACCACUGCUGUCGCAGCUUUCGCCAUUGUCAUUACCACCGCUAUAGUCUUGCUAUAAGUGGCGAAAGUCCACAAGUUUAUCAGGUGAGUUGCCCCACAAAGCACAAUGAAGGCGCCAAACUGUAUGAGCACCCAUCGGUAAGGGAAGAAUGAUGACUUCUUGACAAAGUAUAUGAGCUCCAAAGGGAUCGAGAAGUAUGCAAGUGCGAUGAAAAAGUCAGAUAUGUACUGAUACUUCACAAGGAGAUCAUCGGCCUGCCAAAGUGGUUCGAUGCAAUCACAUGCAUCCAUCUGCUAACAGCAAAAGGUGUUACCGGAGAGCUGCACUCCUACUUGACCUGUGAAAACAUAACAUCAAACUUUUACUUGACUUGAUUUGUAAAACAAUUCCACAAAAAACCAUGAAAGAGAGCAACUUCCAUAGGGCAGCUAUAAUAAUAUGUUAAUAGCAUGGAGUGGUAGUGGUGGUCCAAACCAUAUAUCCAUCAGCCAAAUUUGCAUAUGACAGGCUCUAGUUGGGUUAAGCUAUGAAAAAUACAGUCAAGAUCAAGAGGACAUGCAGAAGACAGAACGCAUCUGUAAGAUUAGCAAUCACAUUUACAUAAAAACGCAGUGCUACGCGCUACGCCAAUAAACAACUAAUGCCAUCAAACGAAUAACACUAACUUACACCUCCCAACAAAGACACCAGUGAAAAAGAUUACCAGUCCCUAUAAAACUAAAAGCCACAAGCUCCAAAGGCGCCGUGAAACUAAACACCGCACUUCGACCCUGAAUCCAACUCUGAACCAUCAUACAUGGAAUGGAACGCCUAAAUAAAGGUUAAAUUACUUGUGUGAACCUAAACUGAGGUCUGUGAAGCUGAGAAAUUAUAUUGACAGUCCAUGGCACACAACCCUACCUUGACCAAACCCAAAAUUGAAAUCGAUUCAGUAUUACAAUUUACAGCAUGUUAUCAUCAAACUGCUUGAGAUUUUUAUUUGCAAUUCACGAAAUAGCUUGACUGCUUGAGGCUGAGAAAUUACUUCAGCAAGAUACCUCAGCUUAAGCUUCUCUCUUUUCUCUGUCUGCUCUCCUCUGCCGCCGCACGCCUUGUCUUGACCAGACCAAGACGACGCGGCAAGCUCGAGCACGGCAGGUAAGAGGAAGAAUCCCACCGCAACAGCAGCAGGAAAUGCAAGAAACCGGAGGCAGCUCUUGUAGCCACUCUCCCAGCCGCACAAGGAACUCCAGGGACACCGCGCCGAUCUCAGCACGGCAGCGCGCCGGAACCAAGAACCGCACCAACAACCGCCGGUGGAAAACGACGAGGUCUCCUCGCUCUAAAUCGAAGCAGCAGCUGCUCGCGUGUUGACCUGAGACACGGGAGGAGAGACGGGCGGCGACUCGAUCUGCUGCCCGGCGCUCCCGUGCCGGAGCUGCCCACGAUUGUCGGGAUGGAUGGAUUCUUGGGAAUGAGGAGAGAGAGAGGGGGGCUGGGCUGGAGGGGAUGUCCCGGAGCUGCAAGUGACUAGAGAAAAAGCGCCCUUUUGGUUUCUGUUGGAUGUGAAAGCGAAGACGCGACACCCCGCCGUUAAUGGCAGCAACUUGGAACUUCGCCACACUUUGCAGGUAAAAAAAUGGAGUACUGAUCGAGCCUUUCCUCUUGAGUUCUUUGUUUAAUAUAACUACGAUUUAUGCAGGAUUUUGUGCGUAUUUUAAAACAUAUACUACUAUGAUUUUGUGCAAGAUUAUCACGAAUUUAUGCAUAAAUUCUGUUUCAAGUUGCACAUUUUUCCAAGGGAGUUUGGCUUUCUUUGUUUAGCAUUAGAGAAAAUCGGCGAAAGACUUUCGUGCCGUUCUGAUGCUUUUUUUAGCAGCCAAGUUGCACAUGAUGAUUUUGUGGCGUGAUUAGGUGCUCCUCUAGGCAAAAAUAUACUAGUAUCAUCAACUAAUUAAAGAUCAAUGUCUCUGAAAUCGCCAACACUGAUAAUUUCAUACUCCACUAAAAUGCAUUACUAGUGCCUUUCUCAGUUCAGCAACACUGGAAUCCAACCGUGCAUCUGAAGGAUGAAGACCACUACUAAUUUGCAUAAUACUGCCACUACUAAUUCUUAAGGGAAAAAAAAUCCGUGGUGAAAGCGACAGGGGAGGCUGGAUGCAUUGCACCUGCUGGGCUGGAUGCAUGGACAUGUGAGGCAGACGUUUGGAGUCAGACUUGACCACAGAGAGAGAUGCUUUGCUGUAGGAUGUACGGCAUGCUGAUGUGUGAUGGGUUGCACCUGCCCAUCACCGGCCUUUCCCAUGCUCUCUUUUGUGUUUGUGCAGACGUAGCAUCUUCAGCCGUGGCCCCAGGAGAUGCUAAAAAUCGCUGCCUGGGGGGCGUACUCGCACUAACCACAUGCUAGGAGCGUGAUGCUUUUCAGUCUUCAUGCUUACGUUUUUUUUAAAAACAAAAUUCAGCCCCACAUUCGCCCAAACAAGACGUAAAUUCAAUCAAACUUCAGCGAGUUCAUAACAUAUAUAUAAUAUUUUACAAAAGAAAAAAAAACAC